GUCUCUGUAGCUCAGUGGUAGUAGCGAGAGAUUGCAGUUAGUUGUCUAAUAACGACUAUCUCUAGGUCACCCGUUCGAACCGGGUCAGGGACU